GUACAACCAAUAGAAUUAAAUGAAAGGCAAUUGAACGAAACAAAUGAAUGACAGAGAAUAUUUUCAACACAGGGUGGUGACUGAAAGGAGUCAAUACAUCUCAUUGCAGUCUGCAGAAGCUUCCCAGUGUGGCAUCUUUCUAAAGACAAUUACUAAUACUAAGAAAUAUGAGUGGCUAGAAUGCAAAGAAAUAAUAACUCACCCAAAACGAAAUGGAGGCAAAUGGCUUAAAGGUGUUUUCAUAUCUAAAGAUAUAGAG
rnacentral:misc_RNA from 1 species